GCAUGCCUCCGGUGUCAUCGCGGCCUCUGGGGUACUUUUGAUUUUUCCCAAUAUAGGUCGUCGUUGCCGCUGCCGUCGCUGCCGCCGCCCCUUUAAUUCUAUCCCCCCUUUUUCCCCCUAGGGUUGGGGUUUCGGCAAUGGAGCGAAACGAGGCGGGGGGCGAGAGCCGAUGGGUUCAUCACACGCACUAGGAAAUACUGCUG
rnacentral:lncRNA from 1 species